AACGAACGCUGGCGGCAUGCCUAACACAUGCAAGUCGAACGAGACCUUCGGGUCUAGUGGCGCACGGGUGCGUAACGCGUGGGAACCUGCCCUUAGGUUCGGAAUAACUCCCCGAAAGGGGUGCUAACACCGGAUAAUGUCUUCGGACCAAAGAUUUAUCGCCUUUGGAUGGGCCCGCGUUGGAUUAGCUAGUUGGUAGGGUAAAAGCCUACCAAGGCGACGAUCCAUAGCUGGUCUGAGAGGAUGAUCAGCCACACUGGGACUGAGACACGGCCCAGACUCCUACGGGAGGCAGCAGUGGGGAAUAUGGGACAAUGGGCGAAAGCCUAAGCCAGCAAUGCCGCGGGAGUGAUGAAGGCCUUAGGGUUGUAAAGCUCUUUUACCCGGGAUGAUAAUGACAGUACCGGGAGAAUAAGCUCCGGCAAAUUCCGG
rnacentral:rRNA from 1 species